UUUUUUGCUGGGAACAGGGUGUGUGCAGGCUGAAAAGCACUGAGGAGGAACUGAGGCCAUGGCUGAUCCUGAGGGGUGCCCAGAGCAGCUCUGCAGGCGAGGUUAGUGCCUUUGCUCCUCUGUCAUCACCGGUCUCUGAGAGCAAUCACCACCCACCAACAGUUCCUCAAGAUAAGACUGAGCCAGCUGGGAGAAGAAAUCCUUUGAUAUUUCCUUGCCUCGCUGACUGCGUUUUUCACAGCUCAUAUCUCAGAGAAGACCUGCAAAGAUGACUGGGCACAUAAGAGUGACACUGGACUGUUAUGCAAGGAAGAUGCUAAUUUUCUGCCAUGUGAAUAGGGCCUGGGCAGAGUGAGGCAGAGUGCGGUGCUGGAAUCUCCCCGAUCCUCCUAUGGAUAUCAGCAGCUGCCACAUCUGGAGUCUGCAGCAAAGCUCCUUCCUCCAGAGGCCAAGAGCUGAGCCUACUGUUUCCAGCAAGCCUAAUCAAAAUGUCCAGUUGUAAAUCACUGGAGAUGUUGGCUGUGGCCCUCCUUACUCUUACCUCUUCCACCACCUCUCUGCCACCUU